UAGGGAAUCUUGCGCAAUGGGCGAAAGCCUGACGCAGCCAUGCCGCGUGAAUGAUGAAGGUCUUAGGAUUGUAAAAUUCUUUCACCGGGGACGAUAAUGACGGUACCCGGAGAAGAAGCCCCGGCUAACUUCGUGCCAGCAGCCGCGGUAAUACGAAGGGGGCUAGCGUUGCUCGGAAUUACUGGGCGUAAAGGGCGCGUAGGCGGAUAGUUUAGUCAGAGGUGAAAGCCCAGGGCUCAACCUUGGAAUUGCCUUUGAUACUGGCUAUCUUGAGUAUGGAAGAGGUAUGUGGAACUCCGAGUGUAGAGGUGAAAUUCGUAGAUAUUCGGAAGAACACCAGUGGCGAAGGCGACAUACUGGUCCAUUACUGACGCUGAGGCGCGAAAGCGUGGGGAGCAAACA
rnacentral:rRNA from 1 species